rnacentral:lncRNA from 1 species
CCUAAGUACCCAUACUAGGUGCCUUUCCUACACAGGGAGAACUGAACUCGUCUCCGCAGGCAAGAAGCCAAGUUUACAGAUGAGCCAGUGAUGAAAGAGUAUCAGUUGCUACACUCCAGGAAUGGGCCAGGUCCAAUUAUCAAUUACAAUGGUUGUUCGGAUUCAAUGAAUGCUUCUGGUACUUAAUAUUUUAAAAUAUACAGCUGGUGGCCCAGGCCUGGAAUCCCAGUACUUGGGAAACUGAAGCAGAAGGGGGAUCAAGAGUUUGAGGCCAGCUUGGGCAACAAAGUGAGAGCCUGUCUGAGAAAGAAAUACAGCAAGGAGAACUAAAGAAUACAGGGAACAAAUUCUUUGGUUGUAAUUUCAUAUGAAUUGAGUGAGACCCAUGAAGUCCAUCUACUCUGACACCAUGGCCUGUGAAAUCGCUCUUCAUACAGAAGAGGGAAUGAUGCCGUCCAGCAUUCACUUUUGUGUGCUGGGAGAAACCGAGGAAACCAGAGCGAGAUAGAACACUGCGCCCUGUGUUGUGCCUCAGGAUGUUGUAUCAGAACUCUUUCUGAUGAUGGAUUUCUUUUUUUUCUGAGUGAAUCAGAGAAUUGACUAGAGUCUACAUUAUAUUUAAAAAAUUAAGCUUUAUGUGAACAGGCAAGGGCAUGUGGAUAGGUGUGGAAUUAUUCAUGAAGCUACAAGGCUAAAGAAACACUGCCUUCUCCCUUUCUGGAAGGACUGAUAUGAUGGCCCAUUCCCACAGUCCAGGUGGUUUCUUGCUUGCAGUUGCCCUUUCACAGCCACAAAUAUGAGAAGUGAUUACUUGACAAAACAUUUUUAUGCUAUUUUUAAAAUGAGAAAAUUGACUUAUGUGAAUAUUCGAUCCAAACUUUGAUUUUGAGACAACAAAAUGUGUAUCGUUCUAAAUGUCCCAGACACUCCUAGUAUUGACUUCUACCAAUAAAUGGCAC